UUGAGCCUUUUUCACUGCAGCCACAGGACUUCAUGUCUGGCUUUGCAAGGCAGUUUGGGUGUUCUAGGAUAAGCCCAUAUCCAGUCAUUAACAUCAGCUGUGUUUGACUCAAUGAUUUUAGAGCUCUUUUCCAAGCUAAACAAAUCUGUGAUUCUCUGUGUCUGGAUUGCACUCCAGUGAGCACAGGCUUCCUGCAACAGCCAGGUCUUGGUAGAGUAGUGCUAUCCUUUGAAACCUGAAAAAUAAAUACUUGGUAAAUAUAAAUAGCUUAGGUAAGCCUUUGUCAUAUAUGUUCUAGGACUAAUCUGCUCUGAAGACCUAUUGUUCUGGCAAGGACUCACCACCAGUAGCAAAGCAGACCUCAGAUCAAAAGGCAUCAGUGUUGCACUUUUAUGCUCCUGUCCUCUGGAAAAUAUGAUCUUCCCUUCAAAGCUUGACCUUAAUUUUACUGGGAAAUCUGGUAUGGAUAGUAGUAACCUCUCAAACUGUGUGAUCCCUUGUGGGUGCUGACAGAGUGCCCAUAAUCCCAAGGCUGUAAAAGCCAUGAUUUAUUUUACUGCUGAUCAGAGACACAGAAUGCCAACAGGACCUCAGAGACUGGACUGAUCCUGGUGGGAGUAUGACUGAGGAAGGUCCUUGGGACAUUCACUAACCAACUCUCUAAAGAAAGGGCUGCCCUCUGCUGUCACUUGGCUUUUUUCAAGAUAUGUUUAGCACAAAGGUAGGUGAACUGACUUGAAGACCAAGAGCAACGUUGCUGCCAAGAUCGUGAGGGGAGUGAUUGAUAAACUCAAGUCAAAAGUCUGGCUUGUACCCACACCAAGGCCCCUCUUGUUGAGUGUUCAGAUACUUGGUGGUGCUUUCAGGAGGAACAAAAUGGCUUUCAUCUGGGAUCACCAAACAGCUCUCCAGAGAUGUCUGCUCAGUGUCCACAGGAAGCUCUUGCCCGGACACUGAAGACUUUGAGCACACAUUGUGCCUUGCACAGCAACAUGGCUGGAGCCUGAUUGCCUUAAAACUCCUGUCCUAUGCUCACAGUGCACAUAAGCUUGCUGCCCUGUGCCCUGCCCUGAAGCACUUCCUUUCUUUGGCAAUCUCCUAAAUUCUAGUUGAUCUCCUUCCCAUGACUUCAGACCUCAGCUCUUCCCUUUCUGCCACAAUGCCCCAGUCAGUGCCUGCUGCCUUGCCAGAAGCUUGCUCAGAAGGUUUUCAGGCUGGGGCCAAGAAAAACAGAUCAAUUCUCCCCGAGUAUGUGUGUUAAUGCUUGUGUGUCUCCUCUCAGCUGCUGUUUUUCCCAAAGUCUGCCAGAACAUCAUGCCUCAGAGACCCUCACUUGAAGUCCAGCAUGGAUGUGUUUGGAUCCAACAAGUCAGUGAAGGUCACUGGCAGUGGAAGCCUGAACACCCAUCUCCAUUGCACACAGCCUUGCUUCCUUAAGCAAGAAGACAGAGAAAUAUCAGGCCUGCAAGGAAGGCAUAAUUAAGUGUAUCCUGACUGAAAGUUCAGGUGUAUUAGUAAGAACACAAUGCCCAGCAUGGUCCCUUGCAUGUACUUCCAAAAAAUUAUUAUAAAUAUAUUUUGAUAAAUAAUAACAGCA